rnacentral:rRNA from 2 species
UAAUACAUGCAAGUCGUACGCACUGGCCCAACUGAUUGAUGGUGCUUGCACCUGAUUGACGAUGGAUCACCAGUGAGUGGCGGACGGGUGAGUAACACGUAGGUAACCUGCCCCGGAGCGGGGGAUAACAUUUGGAAACAGAUGCUAAUACCGCAUAACAACAAAAGCCACAUGGCUUUUGUUUGAAAGAUGGCUUUGGCUAUCACUCUGGGAUGGACCUGCGGUGCAUUAGCUAGUUGGUAAGGUAACGGCUUACCAAGGCGAUGAUGCAUAGCCGAGUUGAGAGACUGAUCGGCCACAAUGGAACUGAGACACGGUCCAUACUCCUACGGGAGGCAGCAGUAGGGAAUCUUCCACAAUGGGCGCAAGCCUGAUGGAGCAACACCGCGUGAGUGAAGAAGGGUUUCGGCUCGUAAAGCUCUGUUGUUGGAGAAGAACGUGCGUGAGAGUAACUGUUCACGCAGUGACGGUAUCCAACCAGAAAGUCACGGCUAACUACGUGCCAGCAGCCGCGGUAAUACGUAGGUGGCAAGCGUUAUCCGGAUUUAUUGGGCCGUAAAGCGAGCGCAGGCGGUUGCUUAGGUCUGAUGUGAAAGCCCUUCGGCUUAACCGAAGAAGUGCAUCGGAAACCGGGCGACUUGAGUGCAGAAGAGGACAGUGGAACUCCAUGUGUAGCGGUGGAAUGCGUAGAUAUAUGGAAGAACACCAGUGGCGAAGGCGGCUGUCUGGUCUGCAACUGACGCUGAGGCUCGAAAAGCAUGGGUAGCGAACAGGAUUAGAUACCCUGGUAGUCCAUGCCGUAAACGAUGAGUGCUAGGUGUUGGAGGGUUUCCGCCCUUCAGUGCCGGAGCUAACGCAUUAAGCACUCCGCCUGGGGAGUACGACCGCAAGGUUGAAACUCAAAGGAAUUGACGGGGGCCCGCACAAGCGGUGGAGCAUGUGGUUUAAUUCGAAGCUACGCGAAGAACCUUACCAGGUCUUGACAUCUUGCGCUAACCUUAGAGAUAAGGCGUUCCCUUCGGGGACGCAAUGACAGGUGGUGCAUGGUCGUCGUCAGCUCGUGUCGUGAGAUGUUGGGUUAAGUCCCGCAACGAGCGCAACCCUUGUUACUAGUUGCCAGCAUUAAGUUGGGCACUCUAGUGAGACUGCCGGUGACAAACCGGAGGAAGGUGGGGACGACGUCAGAUCAUCAUGCCCCUUAUGACCUGGGCUACACACGUGCUACAAUGGACGGUACAACGAGUCGCAAGCUCGCGAGAGUAAGCUAAUCUCUUAAAGCCGUUCUCAGUUCGGACUGUAGGCUGCAACUCGCCUACACGAAGUCGGAAUCGCUAGUAAUCGCGGAUCAGCAUGCCGCGGUGAAUACGUUCCCGGGCCUUGUACACACCGCCCGUCACACCAUGGGAGUUUGUAACGCCCAAAGUCGGUGGCCUAACCUUUAUGGAGGGAGCC